GACGAACGCUGGCGGCGUGCUUAACACAUGCAAGUCGUACGGUAAGGCCCUUUCGGGGGUACACGAGUGGCGAACGGGUGAGUAACACGUGAGUAACCUGCCCACAACUUUGGGAUAACGCUAGGAAACUGGUGCUAAUACUGGAUAUGUGCUCCUGCUGCAUGGUGGGGGUUGGAAAGCUCCGGCGGUUGUGGAUGGACUCGCGGCCUAUCAGCUUGUUGGUGGGGUAGUGGCCUACCAAGGCGGCGACGGGUAGCCGGCCUGAGAGGGUGACCGGCCACAUUGGGACUGAGAUACGGCCCAGACUCCUACGGGAGGCAGCAGUGGGGAAUAUUGCACAAUGGGCGCAUGCCUGAUGCAGCAACGCCGCGUGCGGGAUGACGGCCUUCGGGUUGUAAACCGCUUUCAGCAGGGACGAAGCUUUUUGUGACGGUACCUGCAGAAGAAGCACCGGCUAACUACGUG
rnacentral:rRNA from 1 species